AUACGGACGCCUCCCCCUGCUCUAAUACAGUAACCUCAGGGCAAGAUGAUCGAGAGAUCUGAUUCUCUGUUUUUCCAUCAGUCCGCUCACUGUACACAUCGAUCUCUCUUUGCUCUAUGUGGAUCGGAUCAUAACAUGUUGAUUCUUCAUAGGUAUCUCGCCUUCUCCAAGUACAGAGGUCUUAAAGGUCGUAAAUUUUCGGAGAAUU